UUGCAAUAACUGAGGAAAAUGAAGCACCUAUGGAACUCACCCCUGUGGAAAAGCACAUACUGAAAAUCUCUGGAUUCAGGAUUGGAGCCUGGAGCCUGCAGUUAGAAGACAGACAGUGCCAAAGGGGACAAGGCUUGUGGCAGAAGGGAGUUCCUACAGCUUCAGCUUCUUCAAUACCUCAGCUCUUCUGCCACUGAGGUUGGUAGAGGAAUGCCUUGUGAUACAAGAGUUACCAGAAAGGCCCUCAGCAUCUUCCAACACUGUCUGUCUAGUUCAGAUGUUCUGGUACAGACUCAGCAACUUCUGUGAAGAGAGGGAUCUGUGCCACAUGCCCCAGCCUGGGGCGGCUCUCGGGAAUUGGAGUAGGAGCUGCCAUGCACAGAGCAGCUGAAGAUGCAGUCCUGCUGUUUGAACACCCAGAGACUUUGAAGGCAAAAGAGGUUCUUCCCUGAGGAGCAGAUGCACCCCACCGCUUCUCCAGCUGCGCCGACAGGCAGGACGGAUGCCCACGCAGAUCAGGGUGCUAGGAAUCAGUCCCUGCUAGUUUAUCCAGCAAUAUUUAUCUCUUUGAAUGCCUGAGAAAAUGAAAGUCCUGUAUACAGUACUGAAAACCUCAGCUUUGAUUUGAGCUAUUUGCAAUAUUUUGACAUUUCAGAAGUACUGAUCUAGCUAGUUUCCAUGUGGCUGUUAGUGGAACUCAGAUGGUGAUUGUUUGUUGGGUUAAGAAAAGAGCAGAGAAGUAUCUGCACGUUGUCAGCUCAGUAUUAAUAUAAUUUGUCCUUUUCUUCUGGACUAAAGGAAUGGUUUAGCACAGAGCUCAUAGAGUAGAAAAAUGCCGUUUCAAAGAGCAGUAAACAAAAGAUUUUUGUGAUUCUUACAACUGAGAAAAUAAACAAUGUAGAAACAUCCAAUUCCUCUUUUUAAAAAUAGCUAAUAAUUAAAAGUGAUAAUACAAAUUUUUAGAGUAUGGAAAACACUAGACAAUAACUCUGAAGUGCACACAUUCCUUUUCUCUCCAGGCUAGAAGUAAAUUCAAUUACAAAAAGUAUCCAACAAGGGCUCAAGAAAUAGCAGGAAGGGACUAUCCAUAAAUGAUUUAAAGUUUAAUUAGAUAUAUCCACGAAUGACAAACAGAACAUGGAAAAAAGUCUCAUUGAUAAUGUAUUGGAACAAACAUUGUAAUUUGAACAGAACAAAGUGCAUACUUAGUGUAUAUUGUAUGCUUUUAUUUUAAAGAAAACUUCUGGUAGAGCCUGUUCAGAAUGCUCAAAGCUUGGAACUCAAUGAAUAAACCUCUUAAAACUGAAGUUAUAAAUACAAGAUUUGGAGGAGAGUUAAUGUUAUCCUAUUCAUUGAUAAAAGCAGUUUAGAAAUGCUUGAAAGUUAGUAAGAGCAAUGAAUUCUAGAAACGUCUAAUGGCAACAAAACCUUUUUGUCGAACACUUUCUCACUUUUUCUGCACUUCGCUGUGUUUAUCCUCAUAAAUUUUCUGGUAAUGAGCAUAUUUUACAGUCUGAUCAAUAGUCAGAGAAUCUCUGUUUCAUUCAUUAGAAUCUUCUCCUAAAACCAAACAACACUCCUCCCCUCCAUUUUUAAGCUGGAGUCAGUGCAUGCAAACAGGAUGAGCAAAGCCCUAAAUACAGAUCUCUUCUGGAUUGAGGGUCUCCAAAUACAUGACUUGCAUUCUCCCAGAGGAAUGCCCAGAGCCUAAUGGCUAGCAGCUGAUGUUGCAGAGUUCCAGUCUCAUUGAUAAUCUUUAUGUAAACUGGUAUGUAAAGUGGAACAGUAACAAAACAGAAACUGAGAGUAUCCAGUCUCUGAACUGUCACUCAAUCAUUGGUUUGAUGAGUGCCUCAGCUUUGGAAAUGACAGCUUUGAAUUAUUCUUCUGCUUAAGAAGGCUUCACAUGGAAUCUGGCAGAAAGGUUUCAUACCAUUCUGAUUUUAUCACAGACUGCAGAUGUUUUCUGGCACACAGAGGGUGUAUUGGGUCAGUCACCAACAAUAUACAAGUUCUGAAGAGAAUUUUGCAUUUCUAUAAGGAAGGCUAAAACAUUUGCUUUUUUGCACAGAUUGAAUAAAAGUUUGGUUUUGCUUCCACAAUGAAUAACAAAAUAAUUGGUCCUUGUCAUCUUGGACAAGACUAUGAUGAAAAACAUCAUUACAGUCUGCUUUCAUGGGCUUUCCCUGCUUGCACACUUUUAAGUUUGCUUAGAGAUGCUACAACUGGUUUGAUUUUAUUAAA